CCCGGGUGCAGGGAGCACAGGUGCAGGGAGCCCGGGUGCAGGGAGCCCGGGUGCAGGGAGCCCGGGUGCGGGGAAGACGCGUGGAGACGCAGGGAGGGGCGCUAUCUGCUGGCCGGAGAGAGGAAAGGGCGCCGGGGACACCAUGACGUCAGACCCCGGAGUCCCGACAGGGGAAGAGGCAUUCCCGCUCAAGCCCCGGUCCCGGGCAGUUCAGGCGGCCCGGCUAGAGGCUGGAGAUAAAGCCCCGCUCGCCGGCGGCCCAGCUCAGGGCCGGGCCUCUGCGCUCACUCCUGACGGGGGCAGGGGGAGCCGGGGAGCGCUUUGUCCGCCAAAGGGACCCGACUUCCCGGAAACGGGUCCGCCGAGGCCCGGCCCACGGCAGCAGGGCUGCCCGAGAGGGUGCAGGGCAGCAGGAAGCGCACGUGCCCAGCGCCCGACCUGUCCCUGCGCGCCCGCAGCCCCGGAGAUGCACCUGCACCGCCAACGCCGGGCGGCGGGGAGGGGGCCGCGGGGAGGCGCGGCGACGCCACGGGACGCACCUGCGGGACCGUCUGACCCCGCCCCCCCUACGCUGGUGACGUCAGGCCGAGCCGCCUGCAAACCCAAGAGCCCGGCCCCGCCCCCGAGCACCGCGCCCCUCUGUGGCCUAACCCACCCGAAGGUGAACUCGCGGGGACUCGCCAACCGGCCGCUUCUACGGUAACUACCCGGAAGGGGCUGGACUCAAUCUCUCCACCCGUCAGCCGAGCGCCCCCCCGCGUCGGGAUCUCCAGUUCUCGCGAGAACUUUUGGGCUGUCCCUGUGUGCGCAUGCGUCCGACUCGGAAGCCUCGGGAGCUGCCCCGCUGCCAGGGGCGAGGGAAAAAGGCGAAGGGGGAGGAGCUUGGGCGGGACCUGCGCGCUCUCUCCCUCCCAGCCCCGCCCCUCGCGGCGUGUCCCGGAAGGGCGUCAUCCGCCGUAUAAGAGCGCGUGCGCAGGAGCGUGCGGCCUUUCCCCGCUGGGCAGCGCUGCGAUUGGGUCCGUGAGCGGUCGUGAUUCGUUCGCGGCCGUGUUCUGUGCGCUAAAGCGAUGAUUGGGACGGAGCCCCCGGGCCUCGCCAACAUGCAGCCGACGCGAGGGCCUUGCGGCGGCAGGUCGAGGCCGGCAGCGGCAGCCCGCGGGCUGGGAGGCCCGGGCGGACUCUGGGCGCCUUAGGCCGCGCGGCCGCCACGUGCUGCUCUAGGUACCGAGGCCCAGGCGGCGCGCAUGCGCCCUGCGCCCGGGCGAGUCCCGGACGGUCGGGUCCACGCGGCGCCCAGUGGCCGAGCGGGACGCCUGCGCCGGCGGGUGAGUAGCGUCUCCGGGAGCCGCCUGCAUGCCCAGGACAACGGGAUUCGAGUCAUCAGCUCCAGGAUGGCUGGGAAAUGAUGUGAUGGGAACAAAACGAUGUUCUGGGAACUACAGGAAGUAUUUUGCGUUCUGCCUGGAGGUUGGCAGAUGAGUGCGUGUUUGUAAAGAUUAAAUAAAGUCCUGGUUCGUCUGGC